GAGUCUCUUCCUGUGAAAAGGGAUGUGCAUCAGGGCGCGGAGAGCCCCGGCUGGAAGCCCCUCCCACUGCUCCUGAGGCCGCGUGGGCUCACCGCUGCCCCCUCAGGGCAGGCCUCCGACUGCAGGCAGAGCCUGAGGUGCCCAGGGCGGGGCAGCCUGGCCUUCCUGAGACCUCUGGCCUCUCUGCAUGGGAUCCAGCCUCCGUCGUUGUCCAGAGAGGAUAGUCAGAGCCUUGGGCAGCUGCACCUGACCAGCUUGCCUGCUCUGUAUUUUUUUCCUUUAAAAUUUUUGUUUAUUUAUUUUGAGAAUUUCAAUUUCUAUCUUCUGCUUAGGAGAGGCGAGCCGUCGUUUGGACAGAGUCCACAUCUGUCCUGGACUCUCCUGUCACUAGGUUUUUGCCCAAGACUCGGUUGGCAAUGAGCUCCAAGCUCCCGGCCUGGCAAGUCUGCUGGGAAAGAGAGCGUCCUUCCCAGUCAUUCCAGCAAAAGUCUCAGGACUGAGCCCCAUUGUUCUGUCACGGGUCUCGUGACCAUCCCUGGACCAGUCAUUGAGGCUGGGGAGACACAGGGCUCUGAUUGGCCAGCCUGUCAUGAGAGGAGUGGAGUUAAUUCGAACCCCAUCACCUGGGCUGAGAGAUAGAAAGGGGGCUGCCCCAAGGAGAGGGCAGGGCCGUUCCCAGGAGGAGGGAGACGGCCUGCUGGGAAGGGCGCAGUCCACCGACUUCCACAGUAGGUUUUCCUCGAAAUCCCAGAUCCAGGGCUCUUCCAGGUAGGCUGCCAGCGCCUUCUCAUUUUAUUCCCUACCCUGCCCUGAGAGGUCAGCGUUGGAGAGAAGGCCACUGAGGUUCGCACAGAUUAAGCACCUCGCCGGGGUGGGGGGUGGGGGGCAGCUCCUGAAGGGGCCUGGGCUGCCCGUGUGCCCCUUUAUCAUCUUAGACCUGCCUCCCCACUCUUCCUUCUGCCAGCAGGCCUGACACCAAGGAGACUGCUAUCGUUUCAAAAUAGAGAGGAAAAAUUGGCAAUAGCCAUGAGUUGAGACGACUUGAUAAAAUAUUUCUUGUUUUCUCAAGUUUACACUGUUGCUAUGGGGUGGGUUGGCAGAGAGAUGAAAAUAAAUCUGUGUCAUUUAUUUUUUCUAUGCGUCA
rnacentral:lncRNA from 1 species